rnacentral:rRNA from 1 species
AACGAACGCUGGCGGCAGGCUUAACACAUGCAAGUCGAACGCAUCCUUCGGGGUGAGUGGCAGACGGGUGAGUAACGCGUGGGAACGUGCCCUUCAGUUCGGAAUAACCCAGGGAAACUUGGGCUAAUACCGGAUACGUGCGAGAGCAGAAAGAUUUAUCGCUGAAGGAUCGGCCCGCGUCUGAUUAGCUAGUUGGUGAGGUAAUGGCUCACCAAGGCGACGAUCAGUAGCUGGUCUGAGAGGAUGAUCAGCCACAUUGGGACUGAGACACGGCCCAAACUCCUACGGGAGGCAGCAGUGGGGAAUAUUGGACAAUGGGCGCAAGCCUGAUCCAGCCAUGCCGCGUGGGUGAUGAAGGCCCUAGGGUUGUAAAGCCCUUUCGGCGGGGAAGAUAAUGACGGUACCCGCAGAAGAAGCCCCGGCUAACUUCGUGCCAGCCGCCGCAGUAAGAC